rnacentral:rRNA from 1 species
UACUCCUACGGGAGGCAGCAGUGGGGAAUUUUGGACAAUGGGCGCAAGCCUGAUCCAGCCAUGCCGCGUGUCUGAAGAAGGCCUUCGGGUUGUAAAGGACUUUUGUCAGGGAAGAAAAGGCUGUUGCUAAUAUCGACAGCUGAUGACGGUACCUGAAGAAUAAGCACCGGCUAACUACGUGCCAGCAGCCGCGGUAAUACGUAGGGUGCGAGCGUUAAUCGGAAUUACUGGGCGUAAAGCGAGCGCAGACGGUUACUUAAGCAGGAUGUGAAAUCCCCGGGCUCAACCUGGGAACUGCGUUCUGAACUGGGUGACUAGAGUGUGUCAGAGGGAGGUAGAAUUCCACGUGUAGCAGUGGAAUGCGUAGAGAUGUGGAGGAAUACCGAUGGCGAAGGCAGCCUCCUGGGAUAACACUGACGUUCAUGCUCGAAAGCGUGGGUAGCAAACAGGAUUAGAUACCCUGGUAGUCCACGCCCUAAACGAUGUCAAUUAGCUGUUGGGCAACUUGAUUGCUUAGUAGCGUAGCUAACGCGUGAAAUUGACCGCCUGGGGAGUACGGUCGCAAGAUUAAAACUCAAAGGAAUUGACGGA